rnacentral:rRNA from 1 species
CGCUGGCGGCGUGCCUAAUACAUGCAAGUCGAGCGAACUCUGGUAACUGAUUUUUGAUGCUUGCAUCAAAAUGAAGAUACAUUUGAGUGAGCGGCGGAUGGGUGAGUAACACGUGGGUAACCUGCCCUAAAGUGGGGGAUAACAUCUGGAAACAGGUGCUAAUACCGCAUAACAGCAAUUUCCACAUGGUCAUUGUUUGAAAGAUGGUUCUGCUAUCGCUUUAGGAUGGACCCGCGGCGUAUUAGCUAGUUGGUGAGGUAACGGCUCACCAAGGCGAUGAUACGUAGCCGACCUGAGAGGGUAAUCGGCCACAUUGGGACUGAGACACGGCCCAAACUCCUACGGGAGGCAGCAGUAGGGAAUCUUCCACAAUGGACGAAAGUCUGAUGGAGCAACGCCGCGUGAGUGAAGAAGGUUUUCGGAUCGUAAAACUCUGUUGUUGAAGAGGAACAUGCGUGAGAGUAACUGUUCAUGUAUUGACGGUAUUCAACCAGAAAGCCACGGCUAACUACGUGCCAGCAGCCGCGGUAAUACGUAGGUGGCAAGCGUUAUCCGGAUUUAUUGGGCGUAAAGCGAGUGCAGGCGGUUUAUAAGGUCUGAUGUGAAAGCCCUCGGCUCAACCGAGGAAGUGCAUCGGAAACCGGUAAACUUGAGUGCAGAAGAGGAGAGUGGAACUCCAUGUGUAGCGGCGGAAUGCGUAGAUAUAUGGAAGAACACCAGUGGCGAAGGCGGCUCUCUGGUCUGUAACUGACGCUGAGGCUCGAAAGCGUGGGUAGCAAACAGGAUUAGAUACCCUGGUAGUCC